AAGUGAGGACGACCUCACCGCUCAACCUUCGAUCGGGGACGGCCCCA
rnacentral:ncRNA from 1 species